UCUCUUGGACGGCACAACGAGAAAACUCAAUUUCCUCCACGUCUACGUUCCGCUCGACUUCAAUUCGAACCAAAAAAAUCUCCGACAGCCCCCACACCCCAUCAAACCCUAGAAAUCAUUUCUUUUUUGGGCAUCCGGAGGGCUCCUCCUUAUUUCUCCCUGCACUUUGUUCUCUCCAUUUGAUUCAAUUUCGUCCAUCAAAAGGUUAUGGAGUUCUACCAAAAGUUUAUGGAGUUCAAUGCAGGAGGAAUUAUCUGUAGACCUGAAAGAUGAAUUUAAGGCCAAAGAAGCCCGGAGAAAAGCUAUUGAAGAAAGGAGUGAAGAAGCUAAAGCGGCAUUUGGAAGUAUGAUGCAAGUUCUACUCUGUACUUACAUCAGAUACUCCUGACGUUUCAAAUACAGUAACUUCCAAUUUCUCCCCAAACUGAUAUUUUGGUUUUCUAUUGGUAAAUGUGAAAUCAGCUUGAUUUACGUUACAAGGUUGAGGGUUGAGGAUACUUGGCAAAUAACAGAAGUACGUAAUUUGUUGUCUAGCGUAUAUAAAACAAACCAUGGAAUGAGAGUGUCGUUUGGCUCCAAGUUUUUAAAUUAAUGUACGAAUGGUUUUCUUAUUUUAACUUGCCAAAUGCAUAAAUAAAUAGAUUAUUCUGUAGUAUUUCGCUAUGGUGGUAUUAAUUUUCUGUUUUUUUUUGUUUUUUUUAAACCAAAAGAUAAGAGGUCUGUUUUUUUUGUUUUUGAGUACAUCGUAUUUUUACACUAAGGGGAGGGGGAGUUUGGCUAAACCACACAAAAGACAGCCUAAUUUAGUAUCGAAUUCGUCAUCCAAGAGAUUCAAACCUAAGACCUUUCACUUCCAAAUGAAAAUGAAUACCACCAGACUGAAGUAUUGAGUGUGUUGUUCUAAUUUUAGAUGGCUUAAUCUGGCAUAUUCUAUCAUUUUCAUGUCUAAUUAGGUACUAAUGUUUCUACUUUAUGUGUUCUGUAAAUUUUUUGUCAUGAGUUAUUACUUACAAGGAAAUGCUUGAGUUUGCAAUUCAACCCUUAGAUUUAAUGUAAUUGUAUUUUAUCGUGUUUCUGAAGAAAUCUACAUACGGUGAAUUAUUUCUGGGGACAUCUAUAUACGGUGAACUUUGACAAUAAAUUACUAGCCUUCCUAUCGAUUUCUUAUAAUUAAUUUGGAAUGGUUGGUUUCAACGGCCAACUGAGAAGGAAGGAAUGAGAUAUAGCCAAUGAAUUAGGGAGCUCAUUAUCGAUUAUUGGCCUGAUGUAAGUACUCCACUUUAUGUUUUUCUAUCUACCCCAUUUUUUCUUCUUUUGUUUAAAACAAAAAUCUUAGUUCUAAUAAAAAUAUUAACCUCUUUAACACUUAGCAUAUGAAUUUUUUUUUUUGUCAACAAUAGAUUUUGUUAGAUUAGCCAACGACGGAAUUUAAACUCACGUCAUCAUGUAAAAGCUUAACUCAUUUUCACCACUGUGAUAAAAAGUCACUUGCCAUUUAGUAUAUGGAUGAAUUGGCCCAAACUAGAGUUACUAUAUUUUAUGCCUCUUUUCUUUCUAUUUUUGGACUCAAAGAGGUAUUUAAUAUGUCAUAGAAGGUCAAAGGCCUUUGCUUUAAUUUCCAAAUCAUCAAAUUGAAUGUGCUUAUGUAAUCUUAAUAUUGAUUUUAUUUUUCUUUUUUCUUUUUUCUUUUUAUUAAGGAAACUUUAACGAAAAUUUCUCGGUACCGUUUACUAUAACAAAAAAUUAUAUUUUUACAUUAAAAAGUCAAUUAUAGUAUUAUUCACUUUACCCUUUAUUUUGUCAUCAUUGUUAAAACUCAAAGUUUUCAAAUCAUUUUCAUUAGUUUUCGCUUUUAUUUAUUAGUAUUUGACUCUUCUCCUAUUCUCCCUUUUGACCCUUUUAAUCUUCUUUUUUUUUUCGAUUUUGAUAAUUAUUCAAAUGAAAUUAAUUAAUAAGUUGGAUUUUAUAUUAAUUUAAUCUAUAAAUUUUGUAAAAUAUGCAUGGGAGUUCAAAGUCGGGAGGGGUACGCACAUAUUAAACAUAUGUAUCUCAGUUAGAUUGUAGAUUUUGUAUGUAAAUAAUAUGUAUCUCAAUCAGAUUGUAGAUUUUGUGUGAUUUUUAAUAGGAUUAUCAAAUCUUUUCUAUGUUAAUAGUAUGUAAUACACAUCAAGUAUUAUAUUUUGUAUAUAAAUAGUACUAGAUACAAAGUUUUUGUAUGAUUUUCAACCCCAUAGUAUCACGCGGGGUAUUCCUUGUUAUACUUAUUAUCUAUUCUAAAAUUGAGGAGUAAUUGACUGUUCAUUCGGCUACAGUCAAUUGUUUGCCUCUUGAUUUCAUCUUAUUUACAAUAAAACCAUGAGAUUUGGGCUGGGUUUGAAGGGUAUUUAUUUGAACUGAGAAGGGUAAUUUUGUCCGGAGGGUUUAGGACGAAUUACCCCUUUAUUUCACCUUAUUUGCAAGAAACCCAUUAUAUGUGGACUAGGUUGGAAGGGCAAUUUUGUCCUGUCGGUUUUGGCUAAAUUUUGGGGUUGCCGUGUAGGGUUGCAUUUGCUGCCCUUCAUUGAUGGUUUCGGGGAAUUGAGGCUCUGACAGAGAGCGGAAGAAACACAGAGAGAGAGAGAGAGAGAGAGAGAGAGAGAGAGAUGCCGAUGGGAAGACAGCGCAGGGGAGAGGUAUGGGUGAUGGAUUUCAAAACUGGGAAAGUGGGUUUUGUCUUCUCGGUUUUGACUGAAUUCGAGGGUUGUUGUGUACAGUUUCAUUUGCUGUCCUUGAAUGAGGGUUUCGGGGGGAUGGAGACUCUGACAGAGAGCGAAAGAGAGAGAGAGAGAGAGAGAGAGAGAGAGAGAGAGAGAUGACGAUGGAAAGAGAGCGAAGGGGAGAGGUAUGAGUCAUGGAUUUCAGAAGUGGGAGAGUGGGGAUGGUCAGAGAAAACCAUACGGGUUAUCCGGAUCUACCGCUACAUGCCUGGAUUUCGAAAGAUAAGUGUUUUUUUAAUUUUUUUUUUUUCUAUCAGCUUAGAAAGAUAAGUGAUUUCGAAAGAUAAGUGGAUUAUUUUCGAAUUUUUUAGUGUGUUAGGUCAGAUUUUGGGGGAAUCAUCAGAGAUAUUAAUUUCCCUUAUUAGUUUGCUUUUCUCUCAUUUUGCACAUUCAUCUCUCUGUCUGCCUGUUUGUUCUCUGUCUUAAGGUCGGUUCUUUUUUUUUUUUUUUUUUUUUUUGGGGUUUUUUGUAUGGCUUUUUUUUUCUUUUUGUUUUCCAGGUUAUAGAUCUAAUGCUCUUUUGUAUACCAAUCUUGGUUUUGUUUUUCUUGGAAAAUUGUUUUUAUCUGAUUGUGGAUUCGUGGGUUUUAAUUUCUAUGGUUUGUUGCAGGUUGCAAAGCAAGAGGUUCUCACCUCAAGAUUCAGUUUAAGACCAUCAUGAGGAUCACCACACCCAUGAUCAUGUUCAUGAUCCUGGUGUUUCUUCUGUCAGCAUAGUUUGUGAAGGGAACUUAGAACUUGAAAAGGCUAACAUAUGGCUUGGUACACUGUUGUUGAAACGAAGUGAGGACAUAUAUCGUAUGAAAGGUCUUCUAUCAGUUCAAGGAAUGAAAAAGAGAUUUGUCUUCCAGGGUUUAGGUGCUCUGAAAAUGCCCACCCUUAUUUUUUUUUACACCAAGUGUAUAUGGCAACCCAGGCAUUCCAACUUGCUCAGGGAAAUACUUCAUUUAAGGAAAAGCCUGAAAUAAUGUUGUCAAGUGCUAUACUGAAGCUAUCAGAUUGAACAUGAUGUGUGCAACUUAGAUUACAACCAUGCAAUUGCUUACUUGGAGUUUCUAAUUCACAAACUGAGUGAAGGUCACAAUAAGUAUUAGUCACUACGAGAGUGUUGGACUAUCCUCAUUCUGGAACCAGGUUUAAGAGGCCCCUGACAAUGACAUUGAAACGGUAUCAGUAGUUCCUCUCUUUUUAAUGGAGUGAUUCCCUUUCUUGGGCAUGUAAAAUCUUGGUGUCUGUAAAUAUACACAUCACAUGACUUUUAACACAAGUCUUGCUUCUAUCAUUUGAUGUUACAGUGGAUUUAUUCUCUACGAUUCUCUGGUUAGGGUAAGCAUUUUGGUGAGCUUUGAUUUUGUGAGGGUAAGCUCUUAAUCUUUCCUCUAUCGUUUUGUAGUUCAUCCUAUUGUUUUAAUUUAGAGCUAUUUUAAUGCUUUUAUGUUUGUUGUUCCGUGCUGGGAAAUUGGAAAGCUCUGGAAACAAUAUAGUUCUUGAGCUAAUGUGAAGAUUUUGGGUUGAACAUUGUGCUGUGAAGAUAUUGGGUUUAAUAUUUGAUUUCGUUUUUCAUUUUGCACUUACAAAAACAGAGGAUUGUGGUUAAUUAUUGUGAUGUGAAGCUUCUAUUUGAUGUCGACUUAAUGAGUAGCGAUGUAAAUUAAACUACGUAUUUUAUGGAUCAAUUCACAUAUCUCUUGCUUUUUCUUUCA